AAAUUGCUUCCUUGGAAGAUUUCUAAUUUUAAGUAUUUCCUUUUUACAGUCACACAAAAAGAAGUAUUAAGGAUUGCCUUUUAAGACUCUGAAGACUGAAGUGUUUCCUGACUCAGAGGUACUCUGUGAACAUCCAGCACCUGACUGGCUCUUGGAUGAGCUGUGGAAUAUAGAGUGAUAUCUUGAAGUGCCUGAUAAAUUGCAUGUCUGUCUGUGCCCCCUAGCUGCACAGGUAUGUAUAUGAAUUACCUAUAGUUAUGUAAAUCUGUGUAUUAACUGACGAGUUACUAGUUUUGUGUACUAAAAUUGCUUACAGAUUUCAUAAUGUGAAAAUGUUAAUUUUUGAGUACUUAUAAAUAUUGACAGCUUCAAAGGAGAGUGCAUUUUAUACAUACCUUGCAUUUCACUCUAUUGUAAGAAUCAAAUAAACAUUUCUAAGAUUUGAUGAGGCA
rnacentral:lncRNA from 1 species